GAUCAUGGCUCAGGACGAACGCUGGCGGCGCGCCUAACACAUGCAAGUCGAACGAGAGAUGAGGAGCUUGCUCUUCAGAUCGAGUGGCGAACGGGUGAGUAACGCGUGAGGAACCUGCCUCAAAGAGGGGGACAACAGUUGGAAACGACUGCUAAUACCGCAUAAGCCCACGGCUCGGCAUCGAGCAGAGGGAAAAGGAGCAACCCGCUUUGAGAUGGCCUCGCGUCCGA
rnacentral:rRNA from 1 species